rnacentral:rRNA from 1 species
CACGUAGGGCGCAAGCGUUGUCCGGAAUUAUUGGGCGUAAAGAGCUCGUAGGCGGUUUGUUGCGUCGGCUGUGAAAUCCCGAGGCUCAACCUCGGGUCUGCAGUCGAUACGAGCAAACUAGAGUGUUGCAGGGGAGACUGGAAUUCCUGGUGUAGCGGUGAAAUGCGCAGAUAUCGGGAGGAACACCGGUGGCGAAGGCGGUUCUCUGGGCCUUACCUGACGCUGAGGAGCGAAAGCGUGGGGAGCGAACAGG